UACGUAGGGAGCAAGCGUUGUCCGGAUUUACUGGGUGUAAAGGGUGCGUAGGCGGCUAUGCAAGUCAGGAGUGAAAUCUAUGGGCUUAACCCAUAAACUGCUUUUGAAACUGUAUAGCUUGAGUGAUGUAGAGGUAGGCGGAAUUCCCGGUGUAGCGGUGGAAUGCGUAGAGAUCGGGAGGAACACCAGUGGCGAAGGCGGCCUACUGGGCAUUAACUGACGCUGAAGCACGAAAGCGUGGGUAGCAAACAGG
rnacentral:rRNA from 1 species